AGUCAGAUAAGUUAACUAAACUACUGGGCCCAUACCCCAAUAAUGUGAACUAAAAUUUCACUCUUACUA
rnacentral:tRNA from 2 species